UGGGAGUUCGGAUCAAUUAAAUGCCAUAAGAUACAAGCAGUAUACAUCAGUAUGAACGCAAAAUCCAAGAAAUAAUGAGCCGUCGAUAGAUGCGUGGGACUCACAGCCAUGUCUAUGGAAGAGAUUUAUUAAUUCCAAGUUUAAAGUAUUUAAUACCAUCCGUAACUUAUACAGUAUUAAGAUGGCGCUAGUGCGUUGAAUGCGCAAGCGUUCAGCCGGAUGUGCGAAAUGGAUUGUGCGCGACCCGUUGAAGAAUUCAAUAUUAACGCCCUUGGUGUGGG